UUUUCUCAUGAUGAGAGGCUGUCGUGCUCCUGGUAGCGAGCCGCAGAGCAGAAGACGGUCAGCGCAGGCGACGGAUAGCAAGACGGCAUCGUAGUAUCGAUGAAGGUUAGGACGGAUCGCGUCUUCCUCUACCUCUCUCUACCCGGUGCAUCUCAACCGCACCUCACUAAUCAAGGUUAUUGAUAACUAUGACAGCUUGUUUACGAGGAUCACGAUGGCAAGUGCGGCAAGUCCUGCACCUUUCCCAUUGAGGAUUUAGUUUUCAGUUUUACUUUUCAGCUUAGAUGUUCUGCAUGUUCAGUUUCACUGUUCACGGUUCAGUUUCUGUUUCAGUCAACAGUAUCUGCGUUUUACACUAUUUUUCCCACUAAUAUAUGUAGAUUGUAUGCAGUCAACUAAUUAA